AAUAGCUAAUGGGAAAUGCAAAGUAAAAGCUAAAAUAAAGAAAGAUCAUUGAAAAUACUAAUAAAAAGGUGCUCAUCAAAGGCAUAUAUACUUAUAUACCUGUGUUGGGACGAGUAAAUGUUCUAUGAUGGUCAAUGGUAACUAUUUCGUAUCCAAAUGU